rnacentral:rRNA from 1 species
CCUACGGGAGGCAGCAGUGGGGAAUAUUGGGCAAUGGAGGCAACUCUGACCCAGCAACGCCGCGUGAAUGAUGAAGGUCUUCGGAUUGUAAAGUUCUUUUCUAAGGGAAGAAGAAAGUGACGGUACCUUAGGAAUAAGCCUCGGCUAACUACGUGCCAGCAGCCGCGGUAAUACGUAGGAGGCAAGCGUUAUCCGGAAUGACUGGGCGUAAAGGGUGCGUAGAUGGUUUGACAAGUUAGUAGCGCAACUCCGGGGCUCAACUUCGGAACUACUACUAAAACUGUUGGACUUGAGUGCAGGAGGGGCAAUCGGAAUUCCUGGUGUAGCGGUGAAAUGCGUAGAUAUUAGGAGGAACACCAGUGGCGAAGGCGGAUUGCUGGACUGUAACUGACGCUGAGGCACGAAAGCGUGGGGAGCAAACAGGAUUAGAUACCCGAGUAGUC